CCGAGCCGGCCCCGUCCCAGCUCCGCGCCCUCCCAGCCGCCGCUGACCACGCUCGGCGCCGCUUAUCUCGCGCGAUACCAUCGCGCCCGGGCGCCUCCGAGCCUUAGGCACGGCGCUUCCUUUCCGAAACCGAACGAGCAGCACAUCCUGCGUCGUUUAUCGCGCUUCGGCAGGUGCCGGCGGAGUCUAUCUGCCAAAACACCCAGCGCUCUCGCCGAACGGGGCCGUCCCCGCUAGCAGCUGAGGAAUCGCGAGCGCGGCCGCGGGGAGCUCGUGCCGUGGCUGUCCAGCGCCGCGGGCGCCGCUGGGGAGGAGGAAGGGGAACGAGGGCAGCGCGCCUCCUGGCACCGGCCCGGCUGCGGACGGCCUGAAACACAGACGGUGCGCGGCGACGAGGCUCCCCGGCACCGGCAACGCCAGCAACUCCCAGGAAACCGAGAGGCAGAAACGUGCGGAGAUCUGAACGCGCCCGUGGAGCCUCGACGCAAGGAGCGGCGCGAGAGGCAGAGACACCUAGAGACAUUCUUUUUUUUUGCAAGAUAAAACCUGGAGGUUGAGAUAAAAACAGAGCUUGUGCCUCUCCGCCUCUGACCCGGCCGCCAACGCGGUUCUGCUCUGGAAGCCUGUCACGGAGAUGCCGGGGUCGACAGGAAAACAGCAGCUCUCUGCAGCCGGGGCCAGGCGGGACCCAGCAGGACCCAAAUACCUGCCCGAGCGUCGGGCGAGAACGACCCGGCGCAGGAAAGCGCUCCCCGCCGGGCACUCGGAGGGGGCGACGAGGCAGCCGGCAGCAGCUGCUUCCUCCGGCCCCGGGGAGACGCGGCUCCUUGUGCCGCCUCCUUGGGACACGGGCCCCGGCGGCACCCGCCCGCCCGCCCGCCGUCCGGUGGCGACCUGCUUCCACGGGAAAGGGCCACAAGAGCGGGCAAACGAAGCGCCUGUCGCCCCAGCAGCCCCAUGCCGACGUGGUCACGCCGGCCGCUGCUGGUCCUUCAGCAAGAGGCAAAGUGACUUUCUGGCCACCUGCAGAACAUCUUCAAGGCCGGCUCGGGGCGCACGUGCUGGUCACGCAUCCGCGAGCACAGGCAGUUGCAGAGCGUAAAGGGAGAACGGCCGAAUCGAUUCGAAAUCGGCUUCUGCGAGACGGGGGAGCGUUGUGCAAAACCAGCACGCGCUCAGGAGGGAGAAAAAUCACAGAGGUUCUCCCUUAGUCAUUUCGUUAGCAGUUUCCAACACACAAAUAUUUGGCACCCGUGAAAAACCUACC
rnacentral:lncRNA from 1 species